rnacentral:rRNA from 1 species
UGAGCAAUCUGCCCUUCUCAUCGGAAUAAGCGUUGGAAACGACGUCUAAUGCCGAAUACGACCUCCUUUCGCAUGAUCGGAGGUGGAAAGCUCCGGCGGAGAAGGAUGAGCUCGCGGCCUAUCAGCUAGUUGGUGUGGGUAAUGGCCCACCAAGGCGACGACGGGUAGCCGGCCUGAGAGGGUGACCGGCCACACGUGGGACUGAGACACGGCCCAGACUCCGUACGGGAGCA